UCCAGGUCACAGGCUCACCCUAUUCAUACACAAAUAUGCCCUUGAGACAGCUUAAGGGCAUAUUUGUGUAUGAAUAGGGUGAGCCUGUGACCUGGA